rnacentral:rRNA from 1 species
UAGGGAAUCUUCCGCAAUGGACGCAAGUCUGACGGAGCAACGCCGCGUGAGUGAAGAAGGAUUUCGGUUCGUAAAACUCUGUUGUUAGAGAAGAACAGCGCAUAGAGUAACUGUUAUGCGUGUGACGGUAUCUAACCAGAAAGCCACGGCUAACUACGUGCCAGCAGCCGCGGUAAUACGUAGGUGGCAAGCGUUGUCCGGAGUUAUUGGGCGUAAAGCGAGCGCAGGCGGUCAAUUAAGUCUGAUGUGAAAGCCCCCGGCUCAACCGGGGAGGGUCAUUGGAAGCUGGUUGGCUUGAGUGCAGAAGAGGAGAGUGGAAUUCCAUGUGUAGCGGUGAAAUGCGUAGAUAUAUGGAGGAACACCAGUGGCGAAGGCGACUCUCUGGUCUGUAACUGACGAUGAGGUUCGAAAGCGUGGGUAGCAAACAGG